UGUAACAACCAUAUCUAUGCCACACAC
rnacentral:piRNA from 1 species